CCCCCACAUUCCUAGUGCUGCUGGAAGGUUAGGUCACUCAGCAAAAUGGAGCUGUGUCUUUCACAUUAAGGGACCAGAAGGGGAGAGAGACCUGCAGUAGGACUUUUCCAGAGAACCCACCAAAGCUCCCCAUUAAAGAAAAGCUUCUCCAGGGUCCAGCCCUGGAAGGAUCCUGCAGCCAGAUGAUGGGGGAUGGGGAGAAAGUUGAAACAAUGCCAUGAGCUGGUGAGGUGAUGAUCCUUGAGGGCAUGGAAGGUCCCCAGGAGCUGAAUGCCUGUUAAUAUUUAAUAUGUGUCAUGCUUCUCGUUGGACAAGACCAGCAACUGUUCCUCUGCAAAGUUCCUAGAUCUGCACAUUCUGUCUGGAGAUGAUGGAGUUUCAUUUGGCCUCCUUCACUGUAAACCAAUGGUCAUAUGUUUCAGACAAGGAACAGAAUUUGGCUCUGAGAUGAAGAGAAGAGAUAAAUUUAUCUUCUUUUUCCAAUCUGCAUGCUUUUUAUUUCAUUUUCUUGACUAACUGCCCUAGUUAGAACUUUCAGUACAAUUCUGAAUAAAAGUGGUGGAAUAGUACAUCCUUUAAUUUGUCUGAUCUUUAGGGAAAAGCAUUCAAAUUUUUACUAUUAGGUAUGAUACUAACUGUGGAGUUUUCAUAGAUGCCCUUUACAAAGUGAGAAAGUUCUUUUCUAUCCUAGUUUGCUGAGUGUUUUUUAAUAUUAAAAGGUGUUGCAAUUUGUCAAAUGUUUUUUUCUCUAUGUUUGAGGUGAUUGUUUUUUGUCCUUAAUUCUGUUGAUGGGAUAUAUUAUAUUAGUUGAUCUUUGAAUGUUAA